rnacentral:rRNA from 1 species
CGGGGGGAGCUAGCGUUGUUCGGAUUUACUGGGCGUAAAGGGCGCGUAGGCGGCCACUGCAAGUCGGUUGUGAAAUCUCCGGGCUUAACCCGGAAAGGUCAAUCGAUACUGCAGGGCUAGAGUGCAGAAGGGGCAACUGGAAUUCUCGGUGUAGCGGUGAAAUGCGUAGAUAUCGAGAGGAACACCUGCGGCGAAGGCGGGUUGCUGGGCUGACACUGACGCUGAAGCGCGAAAGCUAGGGGAGCGAACGGGAUUAGAUACCCCGGUAGUCCUAGCCUUAAACGAUGAAUGCUUGGUGUCUGGGGUUUUAUAGUCCCCGGGUGCCGUCGCUAACGCUUUAAGCAUUCCGCCUGGGGAGUACGGUCGCAAGACUG